AAAGACCUCGACGACAAAGACCAAAACAGAAAACCCUAGGAUCUUCUCUCACCUUUCCCACACAGUUGCACGCACAGAGCAGAGAGCUCCAGCCGCGGCGUGAGCUAGAGCAAAUCAGCAUGAAGUUCAACAUCGCGAAUCCUACUACUGGAUGCCAGAAGAAGCUCGAGAUCGAUGACGAUCAGAAGUUACGAGCAUUUUUUGACAAGAGGAUCUCACAGGAGGU
rnacentral:misc_RNA from 1 species